rnacentral:lncRNA from 1 species
ACAGAACUUCUCCCUAGCCAGUCUCAGCCCCUCAUUCCUCAACCACCCAUAACCCUUCUCACCGCGACCUCCUACGCCAAUCGUCCUCCUCCCCCUCGGCCCGGCUGCCACGUCCUCUCCUCGGCAUCACCACGAACGCUUGGUGCUGGUGCUACCCUUCGAGCUACGAAUCGCAGAUUGGUGGAACGACCGGUCGAUUAUCUAUAAUCGAUGCCGUUGCUGUUGCCGCCGCGCCACCGUCGCCUCCGUUGGCGUUGCCACCACCGUCAUCACCGUAAAAAGCUAAUAAAACUGACAAAGAUUAUUCCUGGCAUAAGAAGAAGAA